CGGGGGGGGCAAGCGUUGUUCGGAAUUACUGGGCGUAAAGGGCUCGUAGGCGGCCAACUAAGUCAGACGUGAAAUCCCUCGGCUUAACCGGGGAACUGCGUCUGAUACUGGAUGGCUUGAGGUUGGGAGAGGGAUGCGGAAUUCCAGGUGUAGCGGUGAAAUGCGUAGAUAUCUGGAGGAACACCGGUGGCGAAGGCGGCAUCCUGGACCAAUUCUGACGCUGAGGAGCGAAAGCCAGGGGAGCAAACGGGAUUAGAUACCCGGUAGUCCUGGCCCUAAACGAUGAAUGCUUGGUGUGGCGGGUAUCGAUCCCUGCCGUGCCGAAGCUAACGCAUUAAGCAUUCCGCCGUGGGGAGUACGGUCGCAAGGCU
rnacentral:rRNA from 1 species